rnacentral:lncRNA from 1 species
AACAUUAAACAUUGUAGAAGUUAAUGGUAGUCAUUAAUUAUCAAAUUGAAAUGGUAAUACCAAUAACAAGAGUUAGAUGUCAAGCUCCAGCGGCUUCAUCUAAAAUCCAAUCAUUUUCUCUUCAUGAAGGUUUCAAGUAUACCACUCCAACUCAACGUUCAAAAAUACAAAGAAACAAAGUAAAGCAUAUGAGUUUAGAACUAUUACUAGUCUACUACUACUGAAUUAAUUCUAUUAAUUCCAUGAUCUUUCUAAUUGGCUCUUUUCUUGAAAGCUAUAGCCACCAAAAACAAGUCACCA